GACGAACGCUGGCGGCGUGCUUAACACAUGCAAGUCGAACGGAAAGGCCCUGCUUUUGUGGGGUGCUCGAGUGGCGAACGGGUGAGUAACACGUGAGUAACCUGCCCUUGACUUUGGGAUAACUUCAGGAAACUGGGGCUAAUACCGGAUAGGAGCUCCUGCUGCAUGGUGGGGGUUGGAAAGUUUCGGCGGUUGGGGAUGGACUCGCGGCUUAUCAGCUUGUUGGUGGGGUAGUGGCUUACCAAGGCUUUGACAGGUAGCCGGCCUGAGAGGGUGACCGGCCACAUUGGGACUGAGAUACGGCCCAGACUCCUACGGGAGGCAGCAGCGGGGAAUAUUGCACAUUGGGCGGAAGCCUGAUGCAGCAACGCCGCGUGCGGGAUGACGGCCUUCGGGUUGUAAACCGCUUUCGCCUGUGACGAAGCGUGAGUGACGGUAAUGGGUAAAGAAGCACCGGCUAACUACGUG
rnacentral:rRNA from 1 species